UCCGUAGGCGGGUAAUUAAGUCAGAGGUGAAAUCCCACAGCUUAACUGUGGAACUGUCUUAGAUACUGGUUAUCUUGAGUUUUAGUGAAGUAGAUAGAAUGUGUAGUGUAGCGGUGAAAUGCAUAGAUAUUACACAGAAUACCGAUUGCGAAGGCAGUCUACUAACUAACAACUGACGCUAAUGGACGAAAGCGUGGGGAGCGAACAGGAUUAGAUACCCUGGUAGUCC
rnacentral:rRNA from 1 species